AUUGAACGCUGGCGGCAGGCCUAACACAUGCAAGUCGAGCGGAUGAAGGGAGCUUGCUCCUGGAUUCAGCGGCGGACGGGUGAGUAAUGCCUAGGAAUCUGCCUGGUAGUGGGGGAUAACGUCCGGAAACGGGCGCUAAUACCGCAUACGUCCUGAGGGAGAAAGUGGGGGAUCUUCGGACCUCACGCUAUCAGAUGAGCCUAGGUCGGAUUAGCUAGUUGGUGGGGUAAAGGCCUACCAAGGCGACGAUCCGUAACUGGUCUGAGAGGAUGAUCAGUCAACACUGAACUGAGACACGGUCCAGACUCCUACGGGAGGCAGCAGUGGGGAAUAUUGGACAAUGGGCGAAAGCCUGAUCCAGCCAUGCCGCGUGUGUGAAGAAGGUCUUCGGAUUGUAAAGCACUUUAAGUUGGGAGGAAGGGCAGUAAGUUAAUACCUUGCUGUUUUGACGUUACCAACAGAAUAAGCACCGGCUAACUUCGUG
rnacentral:rRNA from 1 species